rnacentral:lncRNA from 1 species
CGGUGCCGGUGGGAACAAGUGAUCCGUCCAUCAGAUCGCAGGCGGGGGGAGAAUGAUUGUCGCUGAAUCCUGGGGUCACCGCCGUUCGUCUCAUGCUUUUCACUGGAUCGGUCGACCCUCUCCUUAUGCACCGGUAAGAAACCUUUCCCCUUUCGAAUUCGUCCAUAAAACGUGUAGUUGCUGUUGAUGUUGGGUUCUGGAUCGCUGUGUCAUGGGCGCCUAUGAGCUCAUCGCGGUGGGACCGCUUCGCGUCGGGCGGCCAUGGCUAGCUAGUAGGGAGAGAAGGAACGCUGGGAGGCCGUGAGGUAGAAGACAUCGCGCGACCGUCGGAUUUGAACUGAGGGCUGAGAUUAGAUCUGGGAGGGUUGGUUGUCGGCCGUUGAUGCGAGGAUGGACGAACCGGAUCAGGACUCCCAAACCGCUUCACGUUAUUUAAUCGGAGUCGUUGAUCUUCGAAUCCACGAUCGAAAUCGAGUCUUCGCUAUUUUAAAUCUCUGCCAUUGAUUCCGGAUCCAAGGGGCCGGAUGGCGUACAGGUUCGUGGCCGACUAGUUUUAAUCUGGACGCCCCGUUAGGAUCAGGCGGCCGAGAUCAAACCGCACCUAUUCGCUCUGGCACAAUUGCAUAAGAGUCCCUCGGGAAGUAGGAAAUAGAACCCACCAUCCACCUUCACUGUGCGCCGUGUCUUGGGGGUUUUGUCCCGAACCCCCUGGGUUUCUCUAGAUUUGAGGCCUGGUCCAGUGUAAUAUUAAACCAGAGAAAUUAAUCUAUAAAUGGGUUUUUAAUAAAUAAAUAAAUGUUAGAACUUGAUUAAAUCAUAGAAAAUCCAUUUUUAGUCCAAAUUAACCCAUUCAACUUUCUAUAUUUUUGUAAUAUUAUUCUCUAUCACUUAGAGACUCUGUUUUGUCAUGAAAAUAGUAAGAAAAAUAAUUCCCCAUUAAUCCUAUUUUAAGCACAUAAAACCUUUGGAAAUUCAUAUCUUAAAAUCUAUAACUCCAAAAAUUAUGAUUCCUGUUCCUAGGAUUUUAUUUUAACGAGUAGAUUAUUAUUAUGUAUUUUUUACAUGUUUGGUGUGAUGUUAAUUUUCUCUAUAUAUUGUGCUUGUUUGUAUUGUGGCGAGUAGAAGAGCCUAUGACCGAGGAUCCUGGUGACCAGCUGAUAGAAGUAGCUGAGCAGGAGCUCAUUGAAGGCAAGUUGUGCCCUUGAUCACUUCUUUUACCCAUUCAUGUUCUUAUUAAUCAUAAUGAUUUGCAUAGGUUAAUUUUGAUGGGACCCAAUAGGUUACCCUAGAUUUUGACUAUCUUUAUACCUUGUUUCACCACUAGUUUUACUACUAAAUUUUUGGAUAGUACAUGCUAUUGCUUUAUGUGGCUUUGGGUAUAAAGAUAUUCAUCACUCAUUGUUAUACUUUUUAUUAUCUGUUUAUUAUUAUUAUUCAUGAUAAGAUCAUUAUGUUAAUGGGAACAUGGAGAACCACCCAGGAAAACAGUGCUACCACAAGAGUUUAAUGGGACGCCCUUGGCUGAUUAACUAGGAAAGCUAGUGGAUGACUACCUUACCUGAAAGGGGCAAGGGCAGUAGGGGAGUGGUCAGUGUAGGGAGGUCCUUGGGUUGAUUUUGCUGCGAUGGCGGUCAGGCGAGGGAUUCCUGCACUGGAGCUUCCUAUAAACUGUAGCGGGUUUUCUGAAGCUAGUGGAACUUUGUAAAGGCCUCGUAGUGGUACCCUGCCUCGCUUCCUAGGUAGAGGUGUAUGGAGUCUGAUCAACUCCGUGGCAAAUGGGUAACACGACUUGUGGGUAAAGAUGCGCAACCUCUGCAGAGUGUACAACUGGUAUACUAGCCGUGCUCACGGUCAUGAGCGGCUCGGACACUCACAUGAUUAACUUAUGGAACUUAAACUUAAUCUAUCAUUUCAUUGCAUCUGGGAUUAUUUCAUUAUUACUUUUAUUUAUUAUUUCUAAGGUUUGGUAUUUACUUAUACUUAGUAAUUGCUAAUAAAAUUUUGACCAACUUAUAAAAGCAAUGCUCAGCUUCAGCCUUUAUUUCAUUGAUCAGCCUUACACUUCAUGAACUCCCACCUUUGGUGAGUUCAUGCCACAUUAUUCCCCACAACUUGUUGAGCGAUGAACAUGUAGGGGUGGGCACAUUUUUACCAGAAACCGAAAACCGAACCGAACCGAACCGAACCGAAAUUUCGGUUUUUCGGUAGUUCGGUUCGGUUUUGGUUUUUGUAUCUCAAAAGUUCGGUUUUUGGUAUCGUAAUCGGUUUUACCGUAUACCAAACCGAAAUACCAAAAAACCGAAUUACCUAACUUUAUCAAUUCUAAAAUUUGGCUAUUCGAUUAUGUGAACUAAAUGUGUGAAACAAUUAAAUUGUUAUUACUUAUUUAUAUGUGAUGUAUGAUGUAUCUCUAAAUAUUUGUACAUAUAUAAUUUUGACUUUUUAAAAUUAUGUGUAAUCUAUCAUAUAAACUUUUUGUAUGUGUUGUCUUGAGUACAAGUUUGGUAUUCGGUUUUUACCGAAAAACCGAUGUAAAAAACCGAAACCGAACUUCUCGGUUUUCCAUUUUCAAGAAAACCGAUCGGUUUCUAAUGUUUAGAAAACCGAAGUUUUUUAAAACCGAAAAACCAAACCGAAGUUUCAAAAAAACCGAAUGCCCAGCCCUAUGAACAUGUGUGAGCUCACCCUUGCUGUCUCACACCCCCACAAGAGAAGAACAGGUGAUCGAAGAGGAGCCGCCUAACACUGAGGCUUUCGACUUGAUCUAGGUGGCGUCUCCCAGUCAGCUUUUUAGCGCCAAGGAUAGAUUUUAGAUCCUGUGAUAUUUAUCUCUUAUUUUGUAAGACUUCCGCUAUGUAAUAAGUACUCUGAUUAUAUUGUGACAUUUAUCUCUAUACACUCUGUUAUUAUAUAUGUUGUCUUCUCUGGCGCAUGUAUGAGAUGCACCCGGCUUUGUCCCUUAAAGCCCAGGUGUGACAGAAGUGGUAUCAGAGGAAAUAUUGACUGUAGGACGAAACCUAGAUAGAAAUGGACAAACCCUUACCUACUUAUCUUACUCUGAUUCAUUCUAUACUUAUCUCACUCUGAUUCUUUCUAUACUUAUCUUGAUCCUGUCUCACCUUCUACUGUUCCACUCUGAUCAUUCUUAUCUUUUCUACUCUGAUACAAGAUGGAUUUCACACCUUGGAAUCCUACAUUUAUGACCUUCUUAAGAGAUAGGGAACCUAAGACAAAAAAAUAAAACUAUUUUCUCUAUUAAAAAAAUGUUGGUUGAUUGUUCCGAUGAUAAUUGCUUGAUUUGCUUCUUUGAUUGAUUGAAACAUUAUAGUCGGGCAUCUUAGCAUGUACCACUCUAAGGUAAUGUAUUAGCUUCUGUGGGUGACACACUAAUCUACUUAGCUAAUAAAUCCCCCGUAGUAACAUUCCUCGUAAUUACUCGCCUUGUCUACAAUUCUUCCUCUCUUACCCUAUGUUUCUAACCCAGAUAGGCUACCCCUAUACUGUUAGAAGAGAGCAGUAUAGACUUGAUCCUUGGUAUGUCAUGGUUAAGAAAGGCAAAGGUAGUAUUUACACUGUGCUAAGGGAACCGUAGAACUCACUAGUUCCAAAGGACAAAGAUUUGAAGUUGAAGUUGCAGUAACUACCAUCAUCAGACUAGCAUCAUUCCUAGAAGAUGAGAAGUCUGUGGGUGACAACAUCCGUGCAGUUAGAGAUUUUCCGGAUGUCUUUCCAGAUGAGUUAUUAGGGAUGCCACCAGAUAGGGAAGUCGAGUUUGUCAUUGAUCUCUUACCUGAGACUGCCCCUAUUUCUAAACGGCCAUACAUGACGUCCGUAGAAGAACUAAAGGAACUUAAGAAGCAAUUAAUGGAAUUACAAGAGGCUGGGUACAUUUGUCCGAAUUCUUCACCUUGUGGAGCGCCGAUUCUAAAUGUACAGAAGAAAUAAGGAUCGCAAGGGAUGUACGUAGAUUAUAUGUCCCUUAACGAUGUCACUGUGAAGAACAAGUGUCUAUUACCCCACAUUGAGGAUUUAAUCAGAUGAGAGGUGCUAGGGUAUUCUCGGAGAUUGAUCUCUGAUCGGGUUACCAUCAAAUUAAGAUUAGGCCAUCGGAUAUUCCCAAGACGGAUUUCUCGACCCGAUAUGGUUUAUAUGAGUUCAAGGUUAUGUCAUUUGGACUAACUAAUGUAGUAGCCUAUUUUAUGGACCUAAAGAAUAAGGUGUUCGUGAUCUGGAUAGAUUCGUUGUGGUUUUCAUCAAAGAUAUUUUUAUUUAUUCCAAGAGUGAUAGUGAUCAUGAGGAACAUCUAAGAUUGGUGCUACAGAAGCUACGAGAUAAUCAACUCUAUGCCAAGUACAGUAAAUGUGAGUUCUGGAUUGAUGAAGUGUCAUUCCUUGGACAUAUCAUUCCUAAUGGAGGGAUAUCAGUGGAUCCUGCUAAAGUCAAGGAGAUAGUGGCGUGGAGCAUACCCACUACAGUUACGGAGAUCCAGAGUUUCUUGGGACUUGUAGGAUAUUAUCGGAGAUUUAUUGAAGGAUUUUCUAAGAUCGAUAAGCCUAUGACCUCGCUUCUGGAGAAAGGAAGAGAAUUUAAGUAGGAUGAGAAGUGCCAAGAAAGCUUUGAUCAAUUAAAGGAGAGAUUGAUGUCACCACCAGUGUUGGUUAUGCUAGAUCUAUUGAAGUGAUUUGACAUUUAUUGUGAUGCAUGUGGCCAAGGAUUGGGAUGUGUGCUCAUGCAAGAAGGACAUGUGAUCGCCUAUGUGUCUCGUCAGUUGCCGAAACAUGAAUUGAACUACCCCACUCAUGACUUAGAACUGGCAGCGGUUGUGCACACACUUAAGAUAUGGAGACAUUACAUUAUGGGAACUAAGUGCCAAGUGUACACGGAUCAUAAGAGUAUGAAGUAUAUAUUCACUCAGAAGGAUCUCAACCUUAGGCAACACCGUUGGUUGGUGCUUAUUAAGGAUUAUGAUUUGGAGAUUCACUAUCACCCGGGCAACGCGAAUUUGGUUGCAGAUGCCUUGAGUCGAAAGGAGUAUGUUCAUUCAGCUGUUGUUGCCCAGCUUGUGGGGGACAGAUAUCCCCCGGGUCCACUAAAAGAGUAAAAGACCUCACGAAAGGCCCAAGGGCCCAAUAAGUCGUAAGGUCAUUCUUUCGUGGGCCUGGGGAGGGACAAUUAGCAAAGCAGAUCGACAUGAGGCCGGAUUGAUGCCAGCCCGGACGGCCCACAACGUCGAGCGAGCGACCACAACAGAGAUCCGACUUUCCCGCGCUGAAGCCCCCAUGCAACGGAGCCAUGCGAGGAUAGGUCGGCAGAACUACAGGGAGAUAAACUCAAACAGUUCACUAUCUUUUAGCUACACAUUGUUAUCAUAUCCACGUGUAUUGCCCCACGGUCGAGUAUAUAAGGCCUAGGGGGCACCCCUCCAGAACGAUCGACCCUAUUACUUAGCCACCCACUUCAACUCUCUGCAUUCUCAAUUCGGAGAGCUCUCUUGUAACCUCACUCACCAAGCAUACUCACCAGGACGUAGGGUGUUACGCAUCUCUAAGCGGCCCGAACCUAUAAACAUUGUCCACUGUCCCUCGUGCAACUGGCACGAACCAUUUUGCUACAGUCGUCGACACCGUCCAACUCCUAAAAACACCUUGAGGGGCAACCCUGGGUGUGCGGUCGGACCCAAAACACCGACAGCUGGCGCGCCAGGUAGGGGGUGUGUCGACGAUCCAAGCUAGCUCAAUGGCCGUCACCUUCCACAGCAAGAUCACCCUCUGUCCCGGAUCCGUAUUCUGCUUCGGAACAAUCUCAUCCGUAGCAGAUGAAGAGGGAACUCUACAUCGCAUUGUGGAUCCACCGGAAAAGAAGUCUUCUCCAACAAGCUCCGAAAAUGUCGGAGAAGCGCAACCUCCAGUUCUCCGGAAAAAUAUCGUCUCCGGAAAGUCAGGGGCCAAGGGCCCGCUGACCCGGAGAACUCCACUGUCUACUUCCCCGACAAAAGAAUGGACACAGAUCGCGAGGAAGAAGGAGACCAAGGGGAAGCAAGUUGUUCUUUCCGUUCCUCUGCCCUCAAAGGAGAGCGGAAAGAAGGUCGCCACGACAGCAGCACCAUUCUAUCCUGACGUCCUCUUCAUCGGGAGAGUGGAGUCGCCUACCGUCUCCGACGACGAGCCGACCGCACCCGGAGAGGAACCACCUCAACGAGAAUCCCGCUGACGGAGAAACCGGCGCAAGAACGUUCGACGACAUCACGCAGCCGGAGAACGGGAUCCGGAGCAACCUAUCUCGCGAGACGAGGUCUCGGAGAUAGGGGAAACUCCAGAGGAACGCGUCUUCAGAGAACGAAGGAACUCCCGACGACGUGAUCGCCGCCGGGCUCAGGAACAAGCCGAGCAAGAUGCAAGGCAACGCCGGGAGAAUCCAUUCUUCGGACGCAACCUGAAUCCCGACUUCGCCCGAGCCAUGAACACACCGAGCGAAGUUGGAGGAGUACUAGCUCGGAUAGCUGAUGGACUCCCUCGGACUCCCGACGCCGAGGGCUACCGACGACUGUUCACCCAGGCGGCCAACCAUCUUCUACUGCUUGCUCACCCGCCGAACGAUCUACGACACGCCAUCAACAGUCGCUGAGACGCGCGAAGCUCCAUCAAUGCUUCGCGUGAACGACAGCAUGAGAACGAGAUCCGCCGCCGCGAGGAGUAUGACAGGGAUCAUGGCAUCCCAGCUCAGAGCCAGGCCACCAGAACUGAGUCGGCAACAGCCUCAACUGGCGGAACUACCCGGGGACGGUCGAGGAACCACAACAACUACUCCCCUCCCCGGGACAGACAUCAUCCCCGACGAUAGGAGGACACGUGUGGAGUGUCUGCUCUUACUCCGCGCCUUAGGGCCAUCCAAUGGCCUCCCAACUUCAAGGUAUCCAACGUCGACAAAUAUAAACCUAAGCAGGAUCUAGGGGGUUGGCUAGCUGUCUACACCACCGCUGCUCGAGCUGCCGGGGCGUCUGAAGACGUGAUGACUGCGUACUUACCCAUUGUCCUUGGGCAAGACGCGCUGCAAUGGCUGUGACAUCUACCCCGACACUGCAUCGACGACUGGGGCGACUUCAGUCGACGCUUCACCGCCAAUUUCCAGCCCCUCUCCGACAAACCGGCACAACCAUGGGACCUCAAAUCUAUCAAGCGUUGGGGGACGAAACUCUCCAGUCGUACCUCAAAAGGUUCCAGACCAUGAGAAAUCGUAUCCCCGAGGUCACGGAGGCGGCCGUGAUCGAGGACUUCUACAAAGGAUCCAACGACUCGGCCUUCGUCCGAGCCAUAUUACAGAAGGCGCCGACUACCUCCGAGGAGCUGUUCCGGGAAGCCGACCUCUACAUCACCGCCGACGAGCGAGCCCAGGACCUCAUCGGAGGAGCAAAGCCCGCACCGGCGGCACCACGACGCGACGCGAACCAGCAACCCGACAAACGCUAGGAGAAGAGGCCCCGCGAAGAAGUACACGCCACUGGGCCACCAGCUUCUCGCGCCCGAGGAGGACCUCGCGGAGGCGAGCGCACGCUGGACGACAUCCUCGACGCCCAGUGCCCGUACCACAAGGACAUGCGCCACACUCUUCGUAACUGCCGGGACUUCAAGCACUCCGUCGGGCACGGCCGGCCCUUCCAACCUCUACCUCCCCCUCCACCGAGGGGAGGACCAGAUGAACCACGACAGCCCCAUCAGCAGGAGGAGGGAGGAGGAGGAGCCUUCCCGCGCGUUGACAGGGAGGUCAACGUCAUCUUCGGCGGACAUGGGUCGCAGGAGAACAAAAGGCAACAAAAGCUCAACGACCGCCAGAUAUUGGUGGCGACCACCGGUCCUCCCGCCCCAUACCGGUGGUUGGAGCACCCGAUCACUUUCACUUGGGAGGAUCAAUGGCUCAACUUCGACCACCCAGGCAAAUACCCGCUCCUCGUCGAUCCGGUGAUCCGAGAGAGCCGGGUGAAGAAGGUGCUAGUGAAAGGGGGGAGCAGUAUCAACGUCACCUUCCCCCGGACACUCCAAGGCUUGGGAGUUCACCUCAAAGAGCUCCAUGAGUCGGACACUCCCUUCUUCGGCAUCGUGCCGACUGAAGGGGAAUACCCGCUAGGCCACAUCUACAUGCCUGUCACCUUCGGAACUCCAGAGAACUACAGAACCGAGUUCCUGAGGUUCGAAGUGGCGAACUUCGACUGCGGGUACAACGCCAUCAUCGGGAGGCCGGGAUUGGCCAAAUUCAUGGCCAUUCCGCAUUACUGAAAGGGAAUUAGGCUUACACCUAGUCCCUAAUUAAUUUUGGUGGUUGAAUUGCCCAACACAAACAAAUUGGACUAACUAGUUUGCCCAAGUGUAUAGAUUAUACAGGUGUAAAAGGUUCACACUCAGCCAAUAAAAAGACCAAGUUUUGGAUUCAACAAAGGAGCAAAGAGGCAACCAAAGGCCCUCUGGUCUGGGAGCACCGGACUGUCCGGUGUACCAGAGGACUCCAACUCGAACUCGCCACCUUCGGGAAUUUCCAGAGGCGACUCCGCUAUAAUUCACCGGACUGUCCGGUGUACACCGGACAGUGUCCGGUGCACCAAGGGAGGUCGGCCUCAGAAACUCGCCAGCUUCGGGAAACUCCAACGGCUAGUCCGCUAUAAUUCACCGGACUGUCCGGUGCGACUCCGGAGCAACGGCUAUCUCCGCGCCAACGGCUCUCUGCCGCGCAUUUAAUGCGCGCUCUGCGCGCGCAGGUGUCAGGCGCGCCCAUUCCGGCACACCGGACAAGGAACAGUAGAUGUCCGGUGUGCACCGGACACCCAGGCGGGCCCACAAGUCAGAAGCUCCAACGGUCAGAAUCCAACGGCAGUGAUGGCGUGGCAGGGGCACCGGACUGUCCGGUGUGCACCGGACUGUCCGGUGCGCCAUCGAAUAGACAGCCUCCCAACGGCCACAUUUGGUGGUUGGGGCUAUAAAUACCCCAACCACCCCACCAUUCAUUGCAUCCAAGUUUUCCACUUCCCAACUACUACAAGAGCUCUAACAUUCAAUUCUAGACACACCUAAGAGAUCAAAUCCUCUCCAAUUUCCACACAACGCCAUAGUGACUAGAGAGAGUGAUUUGCUUGUGUUCCUUCGAGCUCUUGCGCUUGGAUUGCUUUCUUCUUUCUUGAUCCGUUCUUUGCAAUCAAACACACUUGUAAUUGAGGCAAGAGACACCAAUCUUGUGGUGGUCCUUGUGGGAACUUUGUGUUCCAAGUGAUUGAGAAAAGAAAGCUCACUCGAUCUGUGGAUCGUUUGAGAGAGGGAAGGGUUGAAAGAGACCCGGCCUUUGUGGCCUCCUCAACGGGGAGUAGGUUUGCAAGAACCGAACCUCGGUAAAACAAAUCUCCGUGUCUCACUUGCUUAUUCGCUUGGGAUUUGUUUUUGCGCCCUCUCUCGCGGACUCAUUUCUUUAUUACUAACACUAACCCGUCUUGUAGUUGUGUUUAUAUUUGUAAAUUUCAGUUUCGCCCUAUUCACCCCCCCUCUAGGCGACUUUCAAUUGGUAUCAGAGCCCGGUGCUUCAUUAGAGCCUAACCGCUCGAAGUGAUGUCGGGAGAUCACGCCAAGAAGGAGAUGGAGACCGGCGAAAAGCCCACUACAAGCCAAGGGAGCACUUCAUCGGAAGAGUCCCGCACCAAAAGGAGGGAGAAGAAGAAGAGCUCCUCCAACAAAGGGAAGGAGAAGAAAUCUUCUUCUCACCACAAAGAGAAGAAAGAAAAAUCUUCUUCCCACAAGCCGCAUCGGAGUAAGGACAAGCAAAAGAGGAUGAGGAAAGUGGUCUACUACGAGACCGACACUUCAUCAACAUCAACCUCCGACUCCGAUGCGCCCUCCGUAACUUCUAAACGCCGAGAGCGUAAGAAGUUUAGUAAGAUCCCCCUACACUACCCUCGCAUCACUAAACAUGCACCUUUACUUUCCGUCCCAUUAGGCAAACCACCAACUUUUGAUGGUGAAGAUUAUGCUAGGUGGAGUGAUUUAAUGCAAUUUCAUCUAACCUCACUCCACAAAAGUAUAUGGGAUGUUAUUGAGUUUGGUGCACAGGUACCGUCCGUAGGGGACAAGGAUUAUGAUGAGGAUGAGGUGGCCCAAAUCGAGCACUUCAACUCUCAAGCGACAACGAUACUCCUCGCCACUUUAAGUAGAGAGAAGUAUAACAAAGUUCAAGGGUUGAAGAGCGCCAAAGAAGUUUGGGAUGUGCUCAAAACCGCGCACGAGGGAGACGAGCUUACAAAGAUCACCAAGCGGGAAACGAUCGAGGGGGAGCUCGGUCGGUUCCGGCUUCGCAAAGGGGAGGAGCCACAACACAUGUACAACCGGCUCAAGACCUUGGUGAACCAAGUACGCAACCUCGGGAGCGUAAAAUGGGACGACCACGAAAUGGUUAAGGUUAUUCUAAGAUCUCUUAUUUUCCUUAACCCUACUCAAGUUCAAUUAAUUCGUGGUAAUCCUAGAUAUACUAAAAUGACCCCCGAGGAAGUUAUCGGGAAUUUUGUAAGUUUUGAGUGCAUGAUCGAAGGCUCGAGGAAGAUCAACGAGCUUGAUGAUCCAUCCACAUCCGAAGCUCAACCCGUCGCAUUCAAGGCGACAGAGGAAAAGAAGGAGGAGGCUACACCAACUCGACAACCAAUAGACGCCUCCAAGCUCGACAAUGAGGAAAUGGCGCUCGUCAUCAAAAGCUUCCGCCAAAUCCUCAAGCAAAGGAGAGGGAAAGACUACAAGUCCCGCUCCAAGAAGGUUUGCUACAAAUGUGGUAAGCCCGGUCAUUUUAUUGCUAAAUGUCCUAUAACAAGUGACAGUGACCGAGGCGACGACAAGAAGGGGAGAAGAAAUGAGAAGAAGAGAUACUACAAGAAGAGGGGCGGCGAUGCCCAUGUUUGUCGGGAGUGGGAUUCCGACGAAAGCUCAAGCGACUCCUCCGACGACGAGGACGCCGCCAACAUCGCCGUCACUAAAGGGCUUCUCUUCCCCAACGUCGGCCACAAGUGUCUCAUGGCAAAGGACGGCAAAAGGAAGAAGGUAAAAUCAAGAUCCUCCACUAAAUAUGAAACCUCUAGUGAUGAAAAUGCUAGUGAUGAGGAGGAUAACUUGCAUACCCUUUUUGCCAAUCUUAACAUGGAACAAAAAGAAAAAUUAAAUGAAUUAAUUAGUGCUAUUCAUGAAAAGGAUGACCUUUUGGAUUCCCAAGAGGAUUGUCUAAUUAAAGAAAACAAGAAACAUGUUAAGGCUAAAAAUGCUUAUGCUCUAGAAGUAGAAAAAUGUGAAAAAUUAUCUAGUGAGCUAAGCACUUGCCGUGAGAUGAUUGACAACCUUAGACAUGAAAAUGCUAGUUUAAAUGCUAAGGUUGAUUCACAUGUUUGCAACGUUUCAAUUCCCAAUCCUAGAGAUAAUAAUGAUGAUCUGCUUGCUAGGAUUGAAGAAUUAAACAUGUCUCUUGCUAGCCUUAGAAAUGAAAAUGAAAACUUGCUUGCUAAGGCUAAAGAUUUUGAUGUUUGCGAAGUUACAAUUUCCGACCUUAGAAGUAAAAAUGAAAUAUUGCAUGCUAAGGUUGUAGAACUAAAAUCUUGCAAACCCUCUGCAUCUACCGUUGAGCACACUUCUAUUUGCACUAGAUGUAGAGAUGUUAACAUUGAUGCUAUUCAUGAUCAUAUGGCUUUAAUUAAACAACAAAAUGAUCAUAUAGCAAAAUUAGAUGCUAAAAUUGCCGAGCACAACUUAGAAAAUGAGAAAUUUAAAUUUGCUCGUAGCAUGCUUUAUAAUGGGAGACGCCCGGGCAUCAAGGAUGGCAUUGGCUUCCAAAGGGGAGACAAUGUCAAAAUUAGUGCCUCUCCUAAAAGAUUGUCCAACUUUGUUAAGGGCAAGGCUCCCAUGCCUCAGGAUAACGAGGGUUACAUUUUAUACCCUGCCGGUUAUUCUGAGAGCAAAAUUAGGAGAAUUCAUUCUAGGAAGUCUCACUCUGGCCCUAAUCAUGCAUUUAUGUAUAAGGGUGAGACAUCUAGCUCUAGGCAACCAACCCAUGCUAAGUUGCCUAGAAAGAAAACUACUAGUGCAUCAAAUGAUCAUAACAUUUCAUUUAAAACUUUUGAUGCAUCUUAUGUUUUGACUAACAAAUCCGGCAAAGUAGUUGCCAAAUAUGUUGGGGGCAAGCACAAGGGGUCAAAGACUUGUGUUUGGGUACCCAAAGUUCUUGUGUCUAAUGCCAAAGGACCCAAAACCAUUUGGGUACCUAAAGUCAAGAACUAAACUUGUUUUGUAGGUUUAUGCAUCCGGGGGCUCAAGUUGGAUACUCGACAGCGGGUGCACAAACCACAUGACAGGGGAGAAGAAGAUGUUCUCCUCCUACGAGAAAAACCAAGAUCCCCAAAGAGCGAUCACAUUCGGGGAUGGAAAUCAAGGUUUGGUCAAAGGUUUGGGUAAAAUUGCUAUAUCUCCUGACCAUUCCAUUUCCAAUGUUUUUCUUGUUAAUUCUUUAGAUUACAACUUGCUUUCUGUAUCUCAAUUAUGUCAAAUGGGCUACAACUGUCUAUUCACUGAUGUAGGUGUCACUGUCUUUAGAAGAAGUGAUGAUUCAAUAGCAUUUAAGGGUGUGUUAGAGGGUCAGCUAUACUUAGUAGAUUUUGAUAGAGCUGAACUCGACACAUGCUUAAUUGCUAAGACUAACAUGGGUUGGCUCUGGCAUCGCCGACUAGCCCAUGUUGGGAUGAAGAAUCUUCACAAGCUUCUAAAAGGAGAACACAUUUUAGGAUUAACAAAUGUUCAUUUUGAGAAAGACAGGAUUUGUAGCGCAUGCCAAGCAGGGAAGCAAGUUGGCACUCAUCAUCCGCAUAAGAACAUAAUGACGAUCGACAGGCCACUGGAGCUCCUACACAUGGAUCUAUUUGGCCCGAUCGCUUACAUAAGCAUCGGCGGGAGUAAGUACUGUCUAGUUAUUGUGGAUGAUUAUUCUCGCUUCACUUGGGUAUUCUUUUUACAGGAAAAAUCUCAAACCCAAGAGACCUUAAAGGGGUUCUUGAGACGGGCUCAAAAUGAGUUUGGCUUAAGGAUCAAGAAAAUAAGAAGCGACAACGGGACGGAGUUCAAAAACUCUCAAAUCGAAGGCUUCCUUGAGGAGGAGGGCAUCAAGCAUGAGUUCUCUUCUCCCUACACACCUCAACAAAAUGGUGUAGUGGAGAGGAAGAAUCGAACUCUAUUAGACAUGGCAAGGACCAUGCUUGAUGAGUACAAGACUUCGGAUCGGUUUUGGGCUGAGGCGGUCAACACCGCCUGCUACGCCAUCAACCGGUUAUAUCUACACCGAAUCCUCAAGAAGACAUCAUAUGAACUCCUAACCGGUAAAAAGCCCAACAUUUCAUAUUUUAGAGUCUUUGGUAGCAAAUGCUUUAUUCUUGUUAAAAGAGGUAGAAAAUCUAAAUUUGCUCCUAAGACUGCAGAAGGCUUUUUACUUGGUUAUGACUCAAACACAAGGGCAUAUAGGGUCUUUAACAAGUCCACUGGACUAGUUGAAGUCUCAUGUGACGUUGUGUUUGAUGAAACUAACGGCUCCCAAGUGGAGCAAGUUGAUCUUGAUGAGAUAGGUGAUGAAGAGGCUCCAUGCAUAGCGCUAAGGAACAUGUCCAUUGGAGAUGUAUGUCCUAAGGAGUCCGAAGAGCCUCCAAAUGCACAAGAUCAACCAUCCUCCUCAAUACAAGCAUCUCCACCAACUCAAAAUGAGGAUGAAGCUCAAGUUGAUGAAGUAGAAGAUCAAGCAAAUGAGCCACCUCAAGAUGAUGGCAUUGAUCAAGGGGGAGAUGCAAAUGAGGAAGACAAGGAGGAUGAGGAACAAAGACCGCCACACCCAAGAGUCCACCAAGCAAUCCAACGAGAUCACCCCGUCGACACCAUCCUCGGCGACAUUCAUAAGGGGGUAACUACUCGAUCUCGUGUUGCACAUUUUUGUGAACAUUACUCGUUUGUUUCCUCUAUUGAGCCACACAGGGUAGAGGAAGCACUCCAAGAUUCGGAUUGGGUGGUGGCGAUGCAAGAGGAGCUCAACAACUUCACUAGAAAUGAGGUAUGUCAUUUAGUUCCACGUCCUAACCAAAAUGUUGUAGGGACCAAAUGGGUCUUCCGCAACAAGCAAGAUGAGCAUGGUGUGGUGACAAGGAACAAAGUUCGACUUGUGGCCAAGGGAUACUCCCAAGUCGAAGGUUUGGAUUUCGGUGAAACCUAUGCACCCGUAGCUAGGCUUGAGUCAAUUCGCAUAUUAUUAGCCUAUGCUACUUACCAUGGCUUUAAGCUUUAUCAAAUGGACGUGAAAAGUGCCUUCCUUAAUGGACCAAUCAAGGAAGAGGUCUAUGUUGAGCAACCUCCCGGCUUUGAAGACAGUGAGUAUCCUAACCAUGUCUAUAAGCUCUCUAAGGCGCUUUAUGGGCUCAAGCAAGCCCCAAGAGCAUGGUAUGAAUGCCUUAGAGAUUUUCUUAUUACAAAUGGAUUCAAAGUCGGAAAGGCCGAUCCUACACUCUUUACUAAAACUCUUGAAAAUGACUUGUUUGUAUGCCAAAUUUAUGUUGAUGAUAUUAUAUUUGGGUCUACUAACGAGUCUACAUGUGAAGAGUUUAGUAGGAUCAUGACACAGAAAUUCGAGAUGUCAAUGAUGGGGGAGUUGAAGUAUUUUCUAGGAUUUCAAGUGAAGCAACUCCAAGAGGGCACCUUCAUUAGCCAAACAAAGUAUACACAAGACAUUCUCAACAAGUUUGGGAUGAAGGAUGCCAAACCCAUCAAGACACCCAUGGGAACUAAUGGGCAUCUCGACCUCGACACGGGAGGUAAGUCCGUGGAUCAAAAGGUAUACCGGUCGAUGAUAGGUUCAUUACUUUAUCUUUGUGCAUCUCGACCGGAUAUUAUGCUUUCCGUAUGCAUGUGUGCAAGAUUCCAAGCCGACCCUAAGGAAGCUCACCUUACGGCCGUGAAACGAAUCUUGAGAUAUUUAGCUUAUACUCCUAAGUUUGGGCUUUGGUAUCCUAGGGGAUCCACUUUUGAUUUAAUUGGUUAUUCGGAUGCCGAUUGGGCGGGGUGCAAAAUCAAUAGGAAGAGCACAUCGGGGACUUGCCAGUUCUUGGGAAGAUCCUUGGUGUCUUGGGCUUCAAAGAAGCAAAAUUCGGUCGCUCUUUCCACCGCCGAAGCCGAGUAUAUUGCUGCAGGCCAUUGUUGCGCGCAAUUACUUUGGAUGAGGCAAACCCUGCGGGACUACGGUUACAAAUUAACCAAAGUCCCUUUGCUAUGUGAUAAUGAGAGUGCAAUCAAAAUGGCCGACAAUCCCGUCGAGCAUAGCCGCACUAAACACAUAGCCAUUCGGUAUCACUUUUUAAGGGAUCACCAACAAAAGGGAGAUAUCGAGAUUUCUUACAUUAAUACUAAAGAUCAAUUAGCCGAUAUCUUUACCAAGCCUCUUGAUGAACAAUCUUUUAACAAACUUAGGCAUGAGCUCAAUAUUCUUGAUUCUAGGAAUUUCUUUUGUUAAAAUUGCACACAUUGCUCUUCUAUAUACCUUUGAUCAUGUCUCUCUCAUAUGCUAUGACUAAUGUGUUUUCAAGUCUAUUUCAAACCAAGUCAUAGGUGUAUUGAAAGGGAAUUGGAGUCUUCGGCGAAGACAAAGGCUUCCACUACGUAACUCAUCCUUCGCCGUUGAUCCAAGCAACUCUCCGUUCUAGGGGGAGAAAACAUGAGCACCAAGCAAAAGGACUUCGUCUUUGGUAUAAUCUUAACUCAUUUAUUUAUGACCAAAGGGGAAGGAAACACUUCGAGGGCUCUAAUGAUUCCGUUUUUGGCGAUUCAUGCCAAAAAGGGGGAGAAAUGAGCCCAAAGCAAAAGGACCGCACCACCACCAAUUUCAAAAACUUAAGUGUUGAAUGUUUUCAAUCGGUAUCCUAUUAUGUUCAAAAGGGGGAGAAAGUAGUAUUUCAAAAUGAUAUAUCAAAACCCUCUUGAACACUAAGAGGAGAAUCUCUUUUAGAGGGAGUUUUGUUUAGUCAAAGGAAAAGCAUUUGAAACAGGGGGAGAAAAUUUCAAAUCUUGAAAAUGCUUCUCAAAAUCUUAUUCAUUUGCCUUUGACUAUUUGCAAAAGAACUUUGAAAUGGAUUUACAAAAGAUUUUGCAAAAACAAAACAUGUGGUGCAAAAGUGGUCCAAAAUGUUAUAUAAGAAAGAAACAAUCCAUGCAUAUCUUGUAAGUAUUUAUAUUGGCUCAAAUUCUAAGCAACCUUCACACCUACAUUAUGCAAACUAGUUCAAUUAUGCACUUCUAUAUUUGCUUUGGUUUGUGUUGGCAUCAAUCACCAAAAAGGGGGAGAUUGAAAGGGAAUUAGGCUUACACCUAGUCCCUAAUUAAUUUUGGUGGUUGAAUUGCCCAACACAAACAAAUUGGACUAACUAGUUUGCCCAAGUGUAUAGAUUAUACAGGUGUAAAAGGUUCACACUCAGCCAAUAAAAAGACCAAGUUUUGGAUUCAACAAAGGAGCAAAGAGGCAACCAAAGGCCCUCUGGUCUGGGAGCACCGGACUGUCCGGUGUACACCGGACAGUGUCCGGUGCACCGCCGGACAGUGUCCGGUGCACCAGAGGACUCCAACUCGAACUCGCCACCUUCGAGAAUUUCCAGAGGCGACUCCGCUAUAAUUCACCGGACUGUCCGGUGUAGACCGGACAGUGUCCGGUGCGCCAAGGGAGGUCGGCCUCAGAAACUCGCCAGCUUCGGGAAACUCCAACGGCUAGUCCGCUAUAAUUCACCGGACUGUCCGGUGUACACCGGACUGUCCGGUGCGACUCCGGAGCAACGACUAUCUCCGCGCCAACGGCUCUCUGCCGCGCAUUUAAUGCGCGCUCUGCGCGCGCAGGUGUCAGGCGCGCCCAUUCCGGCACACCAGACAAGGAACAGUAGAUGUCCGGUGUGCACCGGACACCCAGGCGGGCCCACAAGUCAGAAGCUCCAACGGUCAGAAUCCAACGGCAGUGAUGACGUGGCAGGGGCACCGGACUGUCCGGUGUGCACCGGACUGUCCGGUGCGCCAUCGAACAGACAGCCUCCCAACGGCCACAUUUGGUGGUUGGGGCUAUAAAUACCCCAACCACCCCACCAUUCAUUGCAUCCAAGUUUUCCACUUCCCAACUACUACAAGAGCUCUAGCAUUCAAUUCUAGACACACCUAAGAGAUCAAAUCCUCUCCAAUUUCCACACAACGCCAUAGUGACUAGAGAGAGUGAUUUGCUUGUGUUCCUUCGAGCUCUUGCGCUUGGAUUGCUUUCUUCUUUCUUGAUCCGUUCUUUGCAAUCAAACACACUUGUAAUUGAGGCAAGAGACACCAAUCUUGUGGUGGUCCUUGUGGGAACUUUGUGUUCCAAGUGAUUGAGAAAAGAAAGCUCACUCGAUCCGUGGAUCGUUUGAGAGAGGGAAGGGUUGAAAGAGACCCGGCCUUUGUGGCCUCCUCAACGGGGAGUAGGUUUGCAAGAACCGAACCUCGGUAAAACAAAUCUCCGUGUCUCACUUGCUUAUUCGCUUGGGAUUUGUUUUUGCGCCCUCUCUCGCGGACUCAUUUCUUUAUUACUAACACUAACCCGGCUUGUAGUUGUGUUUAUAUUUGUAAAUUUCAGUUUCGCCCUAUUCACCCCCCCUCUAGGCGACUUUCAAUUACACGUACAUGAUACUGAAGAUGCCAGGACCGCAAGGAAUCAUAACUGUGCGUGCCGAUUUCCAAGGCGCCGCAGAGUGUUUCCGAGUGGCCAUCCAAGCAGCCCUCACCACCAAGCCGUCGACGGUUUCUUCAACACAGGCGAACUCUAAGCCUGAGGAGGACCUUGCAGUACCGGCAAACGAAGCUCAGGCCGCGACCUCUAUGCGACCGACUGAAGAAACUAAAAGGAUCAACCUGGGGUUCGCUGAUGAACGCAAGACUGCCAUCAUCAGCUCCAGCCUGGACGACAAAUAGGAAAGCGCGCUCAUCCAGUUUUUGCAAGAUAACCGAGACGUAUUCGCGUGGCAACCCGCGGAUAUGCCAGGAGUCCCAAGAGAACUGGCCGAGCACCAACUGAAGGUCUAUCCCCAAGCUAGGCCGAUCCGGCAAAAACUACGUCGUUUCACGCCCGACAAGAGAGAGGCCAUUCGCGCCGAGUUAGCCCGCUUGGUCGCGGCUGGAUUCAUUAGAGAAGUGUUACAUCCCGAGUGGUUAGCCAACCCUGUUCUUGUACUCAAAAAGAAUAAAGUGGAUUGGCGCAUGUGCGUCGACUAUACUGAUCUCAACAAACACUGUCCGAAGGAUCCCUUCGGGCUCCCGAGGAUAGAUCAGGUGGUGGACUCCACCGCUGGAUGUUCUGUGCUGUCUUUCCUGGAUUGCUAUUCCGGAUACCACCAGAUUAGUUUGGCAAAAGAAGACGAAGAAAAAACAACGUUCAUUACUCCGUUUGGUGCUUUUUGUUAUACCUCCAUGCCGUUCGGCCUCAAGAACGCUGGAGCGACUUAUCAGAGAGCCAUUCAAACAUGCUUAGCCGAUCACUGGGGCAAGCGUGUGGAGGCCUACGUAGAUGAUGUGGUAAUCAAAACAGAGAACUCGGAAAACUUCAUCGAAGACUUACAGCUGGUUUUCAACAGUCUGAGACGGUAUAGAUGGAAGCUUAAUCCCGAAAAAUAUGUUUUCGGGGUACCAGCAGGAAAGUUACUCGGUUUAUUGUCAGCCACCGGGGAAUUGAGGCUAAUCCAGAUAAGAUUGAAGCUAUCAUGAAGAUGGAAGCACCUCGAUCACAAAAGAAGGUUUAGCGACUUACCGGAUGUAUGGCAGCUCUGAGCAGAUUUAUAUCCAGGCUGGGGGAAAAAGGUUUACCAUUUUACAAGCUACUCAAGAAGGUGGAUAAGUUUCAGUGGACUUUAGAGGCACAAGAAGCUCUAGAUGCACUGAAGAAAUUCUUGACAACACCACCAGUACUGAAGCCACCACGACGAGCUACGUCAACUCAACCAGCUGAAGAUCUACUACUGUAUAUCUCUUGCACGACUCACGUGGUAAGCACCGCGUUGGUAGUUGAGCGAGCAGAAGAAGGACAUGCCUACCCAGUGCAACAUCCUGUUUACUUCAUCAGUGAAGUUCUGGGCCCCUCAAAGAAAAAGUAUCCUCAAGUUCAGAAGCUAUUAUAUGCAGUACUUCUAACUGCCCGCAAGCUACGCCACUACUUUGAUGACCACAAAGUCAUAGUAGUCACUGGUUUUCCGAUAGGGGAUAUUCUUCACAACAAGGAAGCCAUUGGCCGAAUAGCCAAGUGGGCUUGUGAGCUGGGAUCUCAUGACAUCGAGUUCCGACCUCGCACUGCCAUCAAAACUCAAGCACUGGUUGAUUUCGUAUCAGAGUGGACUGAACAGCAAGUACCAGAUAACCCAGAGACUACAGAAGUGUGGCGAAUGUAUUUUGAUGGCUCACUGAAGCUGCAGGGAGCAGGAGCAGGAAUUCUCUUCACCGCACCUGGAGGCGAGCACCUCAAAUAUGCCCUCCAGUUGCUGUUUCCGGCCUCCAACAAUGCAGCCAAGUAUGAAGCUCUGAUCCAUGGAUUGAACAUCGCCAUAUCAUUGGGCAUCAAGAGAUUGAUGGUGUACGGAGACUCUCUGGUAGUCAUUAGCCAGAUAAACAAAGAGUGGGAUUGUUCAAGCGAUUCAAUGGGAAAAUACUGCACUGCCGUCCGAAAGCUGGAAGAUAAAUUUGAGGGUCUGGAAUUUCAUCAUGUAGAAAGAGAUCGGAACACAGCAGCCGAUGUAUUGUCCAAGCUAGGAUCCAGUCCAACUCAGGUCCCACCUAGAGUCUUUGUGCAAGAAAUACUACAGCCGAGCAUCUCAAUGGAUCAAACAGAAGAGUGUAAUAUUAUAGAUCAACCCGAGUCAGACUCUGAUGACUGGAGAAGGCCAAUCAUCAAGUAUAUAAAGAAUGAAGAGGAACCAGAUGACAAGAAUUCAGCCGAGCGCAUUGCCAGACAGUCGGCUCACUACACACUCAUUGGGGAGACAUUAUACAGAAGGGGUGCAUCAGGCGUCCUCAUGAAGUGCAUUCUCCCAUCUACUGGGAAGCGACUUCUGGAGGAAGUCCAUGCUGGGCAAUGUGGAAUACAUCCAGCAUCCAGAACACUAGUCGGGAAGGUCUUCAGGUCAGGAUUUUAUUGGCCAACAACGAAGGGUGAUGCAGCCGAGUUAGUUCAGAGGUGCGAAGCUUGCCAAUACUUGUCAAAACAACAACAUCUACCAGCGCAGCAACUGCAGACCAUACCAGUAACUUGGCCUUUCACAUGCUGGGGACUGGAUAUGAUUGGACCUUUCAAGAAAGCUCAAGGAGGAUACACUCAUGUAUUGGAAGCAAUCGACAAAUUCACUAAAUGGAUAGAGUUCAAGCCCAUUGCCUCUUUGACCUCAGCUAAGGCCGUGGAAUUCAUACAAGGCAUAAUAUUCAGAUUCGGGAUACCAAACAGCAUCGUAACUGACCUAGGAUCCAACUUCACAAGUUCAGAGUUCUUCGACUUCUGCGAGCAAAAAAGCAUUCAGAUCAAAUAUGCUUCUGUAGCACACCCGAGAGCCAACGGGCAGGUUGAGCGAGCCAACGGGAUGAUACUGGAAGCACUCAGGAAAAAGGUCUUCGAUAAGAAUGAAAAGUUCGCGGGAAAAUGGAUAAGGGAAUUGCCCUAUGUCGUCUGGAGCCUAAGAACCCAACCUAGCCGAGCUCUGCAUGGAAACACUCCUUUCUUCAUGGUCUAUGGGUCGGAGGCAGUGUUACUCGCCGAUCUCAAGUUCGGGGCGCCAAGGUUGAUCUUCGAAAACAUAGCAGAAGUCGAGGCCACCAGGCUGGAGGACAUUGAUAUACUCGAAGAAGAACGGCUAAAUGCGGUAAUCCAAUCAGCAUGGUACCAGCAGACUCUAAGGCGCUAUCACGACAAGGCCGUGCGACAGCGAUCCUUCUCAGUAGGAGAUCUCGUCCUCGGCCGAAUUCUAACGGGGGAGGGACGACACAAGUUAUCGCCUUUAUGGGAAGGACCCUUCAUAGUAGCAGAAGUCACUCGGCCAGGAUCAUAUCGUCUCACUUAGAUGGACGGCACAGAGGUCGGGAACUCCUGGAACAUAGAACACCUCAGGAAGUUUUAUCCCUAGCUGAAUUUCAAAAGCUACCGGGACGACGAUGUACUCUGUAAAAUGGAAAUAUGUCAUCAAUAAAAAAGGGCUUCCAAGAUACUCAGUUUGUUCAUGAUUGACUUGCAUUCUUACUUAACUCGGGGUGACCACUAUGCCCUGCUAACGGAGCAAUCGGCUUAAGUCGGCAACGACUUAAGGCGGUGCAACAUGCUCGCGCUUACUUAACCCGGGGUGACCACUAUGCCCUGCUAACGGAGCAAUCGGCUUAAGUCGUCAACGACUUAAGGCGGUGCAACAUGCUCACGCUUACUUAACUCGGGGUGACCACUAUGCCCUGCUAACGGAGCAAUCGGCUUAAGUCGACAACGACUUAAGGCAGUGUAACAUGCUCGCGCUUACUUAACUCGGGGUGACCACUAUACCCUGCUAACGGAGCAAUCGGCUUAAGUCGGCAACGACUUAAGGCGGUGCAACAUGCUCACGCUUACUUAACUCGGGGUGACCACUAUGCCCUGCUAACAGAGCAAUCGGCUUUAGUCGGCAACGACUUAAGGUAGUGCAACAUGCUCAUGCUUACUUAACUCGGGGUGACCACUAUGCCCUGCUAACGGAGCAAUCGGCUAAAGUCAGCAGCGACUUAAGCCGGGGCAACAUGCUCACGCCUACACAAUUCAGGGUGACCACUACGCCCUAUUAACAGAAGCAAUCGACUUAAGUCAGCAGCGACUUAAGGCGAUCCGACGUGAUUACAAUUACUCAUAUAAGGAUGACUUCUAUAUCCCGCAAACAAAUUUCAAAACCAUCGCACGUCAUUUUACUACUACGAAUUUAUGAACUGACGAAUUCUGAAACAAUAUGAAAAUAACACUAUCGUCUAAGUACUGAAAUGACGUCCUCUAACAAAUGUUUGACCAUGCUAACCGCGCGCUCAAAGCACGCAAAAUGUCCCUCUAUUUUGUGAUAUCUUUCUCAGGAGCAAUCGAUGAGGAAGGACGACUCGAGGAAUCAGGGGCAGCAUUCACAUCAGCCCUUAUAUCUUCGGGAACAACCACGCCGGGUCUCCUCAUCAAGAUUCGCCCCGCUCGAAUAGCCUUGUCCAUGGCUCUAUCGCGCUGGGCUCUGAGAGUAACAGAAGUUUCUUCGGCAACCUUGGCAGCCAGCCGAGCAGUUUCUAACUCUUGGGCGAUAGAUUUCUUGGAAGCUCGGAGUUCUUUGAUAGUAGCGUCCUUCGCUGAUAUCAACUGCUUGAGCCGGGUCACUUCAUCCGUGGAUUCCUGCAGCUUACAGCGUUGGUUGUCUAACUCUUCCAUGGUGAAGCGAUGACUCCUCUCCAGGAUAGUCAACGAGUUGCUAGAAUCACGAUACAAUCUGUCAAGACUGUCGCGAGAAGCAGCAAGGAUACGUUUUUCUUCCUGCAAACAAAAGUCAACUCCCUCAAACACCAAGCAAGUAAUAGGAGCACAACAAGGCAAAGCACAGUCUCAUAAAUCACCUUUUCAGAAUUGAGCUGAGCAUGAAGAGAAGAACUCAGUGCAUUGGCGUCAUCUAAGGCAGCGGAGACCUGACCUAGUUCAGUCUGACUUUGAGAGUACUUUUCCUCAAAGUCAGUGCACCGCUGGACCAAUUCAGCCUGAUCUCGGGAAUGUUUUUCCUCAAGAGUGGAAAUCUGCCGAGUCAUACCUAGCAGGAGACAAUCAAACAAAAAGGGGUCAGAGUGUAAAGCAGUCCACAGUGAAGACAAAGAGAAGCAAAAAAGCACUAACCAGCGUUGGUCGCCUCCAAUUCAGAGACACGAUGUUGAAGUGACACUGGAUUCCAACAUGCAAGUGACGAAGCUACUUCUGGGACAGAAGCACCCUGUAACCUCAGCUGGCUAGCCAUCCCAUCCACCAAAGCCUGAUGAGGAGAACAGAUGAGUGUAAUGAUAGCAGUUUAUGCAAUGUAAAAACCAAGCUAAAAUACAUCACAGUACCUAGAGGUUGGAAAAGAACGAAGGGAUCCCCAAAUCAGGAGAGAUCAAUUGAUAACCGGGCGUAAGGCCACCACCCGAAGCAGCUUGCAACGAACCAGCAGGAAUCAACUCGGUGCCAUCAACAGAGCCCAACACUCGGUCAGCGGGGACGCUACCCUCUAAAGCGACUCCCUGGUCCAAGGCUUGGGCUACCACCAUACAGCCGGAGUGUGGAGGCGAUCCCGCAUGAACGUCCAUGGAAGUACAGGAGGGAGACCCCGCUCGGACACCCUCGGGGGCUGGGUCAUAGUUUGCACUGCCCACUUGAACCGGAUCAUCCCCGGCAGCACCCUCGGGGGCUGGGCAGUGGCUUACACUUCCCACCCGAACCAAGUCAUCCCCGGCGACAUCCUCGGGGGCUGGGCAUGUGUCAACACCACCCUAGGGGUCCAGGUUCUCUGCGGUAGCCACUUCUAAGGCUAAUGGGCCCUCAGUUACUUCCAUGGGACCAGGACGAUCCAAGUCAGUCUCCCGACCCUCGAGAUUGCGCUCUAAGGUCGACGAGGCACGGGAUGACCUCAACCCAGCAUUAAGCACAUCAGCACAAACCUCCAUCACACCAUCAUCUGCUGGCUCCGAUAACAAAUCCUCUGGAACCAUAUCCUCAAGAGUCUGAUCAAAAUUGGCAGGGACAGUUCUUGCAGGCCAAUGAGAGCAGACAAAGCAGGAGAGGGAACUCCACUACUUUCACCGCUAGCGAUGAACUGCCGACUGUUUUUCCGAGUCAAAGGAACUUCAUCUUCUUCCUCCUCGUCGUCCACAUUAGCAACACAGGCAGCACCCCCAUUGGGAUCAGCAGCAGAUGAAGCACUCACAUUGGGAUCAGCAACAGAUUGGGUACACCCAUUGGGGUCAGCGUCAGUAAAUUCAGUCACAGGCACUUCUUCAGCAGCAGGAACCGAGGUACCAACGUCCCGAUCCAAACUGGAUACUCGCUGGAGGCGUCUCCUUUUCUUUUUCUGCUCAUCAGCAGAAGGAUCAGGCUGAUUGGCUCGGCAAGGGCGCCUCAGGCGAGUACUGGCAGGCUUCUGAGUAUCCAAAGUUGUAUCAGCCUCUUGGAGGGGCGCCACUACCAAGCCCUAGCAGGAGCAGCGUCAGAAGAGUCCUCAGCCAGCAAAUCAAGCAUAGCGCUUAUCUCUGCAUCACUAGGGUUCAGGGGCACCUCAAAAUGGACCUACCGUUCAUCAUCAGGAAUCUCCCCGAGCGAGGCAACCAAGGCACUGACUUCUUCAGCAGAAGGCCGCACUCUAAGGCCCAAACUGCCAUCAGUGACAGGAGGAUUCGACACAAAAAGAGUGAAGGCUUUGGGAGGAGGCAAGUUCCAGGCUGAGAAUGCCACUGGGGCACCAACAUUUGACACUUUGUGUAACACUCAAAAUUGUUUACAAGGAAUAAAUAGUGAAUUCCCUACUGUAUGUGCCUUAAUUGCAUCAUGAAAAGAGCAUGCAUAUAAUUAAGAGUGAGACAAAUGAUUCAAAAAUAAAAUAAAGUACAUCUUGUUGGAGUUUUAUGUUUGUGCAUUAAAUAAAAAUAAUAACAAUAUAAAAAUGACUAGAAAUUGGAUUAAACCCUAAGUUGAAAAAUAGGGUUUUCUAAAAUGAGAAGAAGAGGAAUGAUACAAAAAUAUAAAUAAUGUUAUUAUACUUUUAAAAUUGGUAAUUUUUCAUUUCACAAUAUGAUUUGAGAAUAAAUUUGCACAAGGUUUGAAACUAAAUUCGAAUUCAAAUUGAUUUUUAGAAAUAAAGAAAAGAAAAUGGGAGAUGAAAAGAAAAGGAAAAGCAAAAUCCCACUGUUGGGCCCAAAACCCUCAAUUCGGCCCACCAUCUCUUUUGAUCCGCGCAGCCCACCACUCACUCUCGGCGCCGACAUGGUGGGCCCACAGGGCAGUCGCGCCAGCGCACACAGCAUUUCCCCUUUCACUGCGUCGCGGGGCCCACUGGUUAGCCUCUUCGCUCCUACCACUCCGUCGCUCGCUUACGUAUGGGUCCAGCUCGUCAGUUCCUUGGCGCGCGUCAGGAAAUGUUUGUCUCGCCGACUUGUGGGACCCUCGUGUCAGUUUCGCCUUCAUCCUAACGGACUGGCGCGGGUCUUACGCGGAUGGCGCCGGAGGAAUCGACGGCGCCGUUCUGACCGGCACGGCCCUCGGUGCAUAUAUACCGAGGCGCUCUGUCCAUCCGAGCUGUUAGAAAUCGCUACCCACGACCUAGUUUUCCCUGUGCGUUGUGUUUCCCAUCGCCGCCGUCGACACACGGUAGAACAGGGUGCCGCCGCCGCCAAAACCUCGCACCAUAUCGCCGCUCCCCCUGUUUUGUGCCCGGAGGAACUCGCGGAUUCGUGCGCAACCCCAUCACCGACUAAUUUGGACUUGUGGUUGGCUCGGGCCACCUCGAUUGCUCACCGGUGUCCCAGCUCCGCCUCGGAUCCGCUUAGCACCGACGACUGGCCGCAACACGGUCCCAAUUGCCGGUAACAACUUCCCCUAUGUCUCACCGUAGCUCUGCAUUCGUAUAGUUUACAUACAAUCGGACUAUGGGGCCCUGAAUUGCCGUAUCGGGUUACUCCGGCGAGGAGCGCCGCCGUAGCGCAUGCGGCAACCUCGCUGCCGUGGCGUGUGGUUGGGGAUGAGAGCCUAGCCGUCGAUUGAGCAAUCAAGGGUGCAGGUUAGAUCGGGGGGGGAUCAGGCCAGGGUAAAUGCGGAUCGUCCAAUCGCGAUCGGGCGAGUCGGGGCGAUCGCAGGGGAUUUUAAAUCCAAACCGUAGAUUUGUAAUCGAGCGGUGCCUACUGGAUACCGAUUCGUUUCGAAGCCAGUCUAAUCGUAGCCGUAGAACUUUAAUCCAACGACCGGGAUUGGCCCGUACCCCUUCGCGGGUACGUUUUACAAAAGAAACCCCGCCAAACUUUGAAACCAACCCGCCGUCCAGUGGAACUAUUCCCUGAGUCUGGGUUAUCUUGCGCAGAGACCCUUGAAGUUAUCAGGAAUCGAGGCCCAGUCCUGAGAUGAUUAAAAACAGAGAAUUAAUUAUAGAAAUUCGUUUUUAAUAAAAAAACAAAUAUAGAAACUUGUUUAAUUCAUAGAAAAUGCAUAUGAACUCCAAAUUGAUCCAUUCCAGUUCCAAAAUUUUUAUAAUAUUAUUUUCUAACCAUUAGUGUCUCUGUUUUGACAUGAAAGCAGUAAGAAAAUUAAUUUACCAUUUAAUCCUAUCUCAAGCACAUUAAAUCUUAGGAAAUUCAUAUCUUAAAAUCUAUAAUACCAAAAAUUAUGAUUUAUGUUCUUAGGAGUUUAUUUUAAUGUGUAGAUUUUUAUGGUGUAUUUUAUUCACAUGUUUGGUGCAAUGUUAAUUUUUGCUAUACUAUGUAUGUAUUGUGUUGAUGCGAGUAGACGAGCAAGCCACUGUGGAUUCUGAGGUUCAGCAAGUAGAAGUAGCUGAGCAGGAGCUCAUUGAAGGCAAGUUGUGCCCUUGAUCACUUACUUUUUCCCAGCCAUGUUCUUAUUAAUUAUAAUGAUCUGCAUAGGUUAAUUUUGAUGGGACCCAAUAGGUUACCCCAGUUUUGGCUAUCUUUAUACCUUGUUUUGCCACUAAAUAUUUUUGAGUAGUACUUGCUAUCGCUUAUUGUGGUUUUGGGUAUGAAGAUACACUAUUAAUUACUUCACUUUUAUUAUCUUUUUAUUAUUAAUGUUCAUGUUAAGAUCAUUAUGUUAAUGGGAACAUGGAGCGACCACCCGGAAAAACAGUGCUACCACAAGGGUAUAAUGGGACGCCCUUGGCUGAUUAACUAGGAAAGCUAGUGGAGGUCUUCCUUACCCGAAAGGGGCAAGGGCAGUAGGGGAGUGGUCAGUGUAGGGAGGUCCUUGGUUGAUUUUGCUGCGAUGGCGGUCAGGCAAGAACCCUGCAUUGGAGCUUCCUAUAAACUGUAGCGGGUUUUCUGAAGCUAGUGGAACUUUGUAAAGGCCUCGUAGUGUUACCCUGCCUCGCCUCCUCGGUAGAGGUGUAUGGGAUUGGCCAUCUCUUGGCAGAUGGGUAACAUGACUUGUGGGUAAAGAUGCACAACCUCUGCAGAGUGUAAAACUGGUAUACUAGCCGUGCUCACGGUCAUGAGCGGCUCUGACCCUCACAUGAUUAAAUUAUGGAACUUAAAUUCAAUUUUGUCAUUUGCAUAUGCAUGGGUUUAUUAUUAAUUUUGUUCUAUUAUUUUACUUAAGGUUUGGUAUUUACUUACACUUAGUAAUUGCUAAUAAAAUUUUGACCAACUACUUAAAAGCAAUGCUCAGCUUUAACCAUUCUCUUUGAUAAGCCUUACACUCCAUGAGCUCCCACCUUUGGUGAGUUCAUGUCACAUUAUUCCCCACGACUUGUUGAGCGAUGAACGUAUGUGAGCUCACUCUUGCUGUCUCACACCCCCCAACAGGAGAAGAGCAGGUGGUUCAGGAGGAGCCACAAGGCGAGGAGUAUGAUCUGAUCUAGGUGGCGUUUCUCAGUUGACAUUGGCGCCGACGAUCCUUAGUUCGUUUUAUAUUUACUCUUUUAUUUUGUAAUAAGUCUUCCGCUAUGUAAUAAAUACUCUGAUGUUCAUGACAUUUAUCUCUAUACACUCUGUUAUUAUAUAUGUUGUCUUCUUGGCGCAUGUAUGAGAUGCACCCGGCUUUGUUCCUUAAAACCGGGUGUUACAGAAGUGGUAUCAGAGGAAAUGUUGACUGUAGGACGAAACCUAGAUAGAAAUGGACAAAACCCUUACCUACUUACCUUAUUCUGAUUCAUUCUAUACUUACCUUACUCUGAUUCUUUCUAUACUUAACUUGAUCCUGUCUCACCUUCUACUGUUCUACUCUGAUUAUUCUUAUCUUUUCUACUUCAAGACAAGAUGGAUUUCGCACCUUGGAAUCCUACAACUAUGAACUUUUCCAGAGAUAGGGAACCUAAGAUAAAAUUAAAAUUAUUUUCUUUAUUAAAAAUGUUGGUUGAUUGUUCUGAUGAUCAAUGUCUGAUUUUCUUCUUUGAUUGAUUGAAAUAGUAUAGACGGGCAUCUUAGCAUGUACCACUAUAAGGUAAUGAAUUAGCUUUAGUAGGCGACACACUCAGCUAAUAAAUCCCCCAAAGUAACAUGCUUUGUAAUUACAUGCCUUGUCUACAAUCCUUUCUUUCGUACCCUGUGCUCCUAACCCAGAUGGGCUACCCCUAUAGUGUUAGAAGAGAGCCCUAUAGAUGUGAUCCUUGGUAUAUCAUGGUUAAGAAGGGCAAAGGCAAUUUAUACACUAUGCUAAAGGAACCAUAGAACUCACCAGUUCCAAAGGAGAAAGAUUUCAAGUUAAUAUUGCAAUAACCACCUCAUCCAAACGUACAAUGUUCUUCAUACCUGAGGAGUUUGUUGGUGACAACAUCCGUGUGGUUAGAGAUUUUCCGGAUGUCUUUCCAGAGGAGUUACCAGGAAGCCACCGGAUAGAGAAGUUGAGUUUGUCAUUGAUCUCUUACCUGAGACUGCUCCUAUUUCUAAACGGCUAUACAGGAUGUCCAUAGAAGAACUAAAGAAACUUAAGAAGCAAUUAACGGAAUUACAAGAGGUUGUGUACAUUCGUUCGAAUUCUUCACCUUGUGGAGCGCCGAUUCUAUUUGUACAGAAGGAAGAAGGAUCGCAAGGGAUGUGCGUGGAUUAUAGGUUCCUUAAUGGUGUCACUAUGAAGAACAAGUAUCCAUUACCCCGCAUUGAAGAUUUAUUUGAUCAGAUGAGAGGUGCAAGGGUAUUCUCGAAGAUUGAUCUCCGAUCGGGUUAUCACCAAAUGAAGAUUAGGCCAUCGGAUAUUCCCAAGACAACUUUCUCAACCCGAUAUGGAUUAUAUGAGUUCACCGUUAUGUCAUUUGGACUAACUAAUGCACCAGCUACCUUAUGGAUCUGAAGAAUAAGGUGUUUAUGGAGUAUUUGGACAGAUUCAUCGUAGUAUUUAUGGACGAUAUUCUUAUCUAUUCUAAGAGUGAAAGUGAUCAUGAGGAACACAUGAGAUUGGUGCUAUAGAAGCUACGAGAUAAUCAACUCUAUGUCAAGUUUAGCAAGUGCGAGUUUGGAUUGACAAGGUGCCAUUCCUUGGACAUAUUAUUUCUAAUGGAGGAAUAGCAGUGGAUCCUGCUAAAGUGAAGGAGAUAAUGGAAUGAAGCGUGCCCACUAUCAUCACUGAGAUUUGGAGUUUCUUGGGGCUUGCAGGAUAUUAUCAGAGAUUUAUUGAAGGAUUCUCGAAGAUUGCCAAGCCUAUGACCUCGCUUCUGGAGAAAGGAAGAGAAUUCAAGUGGGAUGAGUAAUGCCAAGAGAGUUUUGAUCAAUUGAAGGAAAGGUUGAUGUCGCCACCAGUAUUGAUUAUGCCAGACCUGCAUAAGGGAUUUGACAUUUACUGUGAUGCAUGUGGCCAAGGACUUGGAUGUGUGCUUAUGCAAGAAGGUCAUGUGAUCGCCUAUGCAUCUCGUCAGUUGCGGAAACAUGAAUUGAACUACCCACUCAUGACUUGGAAUUGGCUGCCGUUGUGCAUGCACUUAAGAUUUGGAGACACUACAUCAUGGGAACUAAGUGCCAAGUAUAUACGGAUCAUAAGAGCUUGAAGUACAUAUUCACUCAGAAGGAUCUCAACCUUAGGCAACGCCGUUGGUUGGAGCUUAUUAAGGAUUAUGAUUUGGAAAUUCAUUACCACCCAGGCAAGGCAAAUUUGGUUGCAGAUGCCUUGAGUCGUAAGGAGCAUGUUCACUCCGCUUUCGUCGUCCAGCUACCUGAUGAAUUAGCAAAAGAUUUUGAGAGGCUCAACCUGGGAAUUGUUACACAUACGGAAGGAGUGACUAUUGAAUUGGAACCUACCUUGGAGCAAGAAAUUCGUAAAGGUCAGAUUGGUGAUGCUAAGAUUCAGGAGAUCAAGGAUCUAAUAACAUAGGGUAGAGGCCCGGAGUUCACAGAGGAUGAGCAGGGCACCAUAUGGUUCAAGAAUCGGAUCUGUGUUCCCGAUAUUGAUAGUCUUCGGGAAACCAUAUUGAAGGAGGCACAUGACUCAGUUUAUUCUAUUCAUCCUGGAUGCACUAAGAUGUAUCAGGAUUUGAAGCAGAAAUAUUGAUGGUAUGGAUUGAAGAGAGAUAUGGCUACACAUGUGGCUAUGUGCGAGGUGUGUCAAAGAGUUAAGGCAGAACACCUAAGACUAACUAGACUACUACACCCAUUAAAGCUACCCGAGUGGAAGUAAGAAGAGAUUGGUAUGGAUUUCAUUAAUUGCCACGCACCUCGAAAGGAUAUGGUUCUAUAUGAGUUAUUAUGGAUAGACUGACCAAAGUGGCUCAUUUCAUUUUGGUCAAGACUACUUAUAAGGGAUCUCAAUUGGUAGAGUUAUAUGUGGCUCGGAUUGGGUCUCAACACGGUGUACCGAAGAAGAUUAUUUUGGAUAGAGGAUCAUAGUUUACCUCCAGAUUUUGGAAAAGCUUUGAUGAGAAUAUGGAUACGAAGUUGAAUUUUAGUUCGGCCUACCAUCCCUAGACUGAUGGGCAGACCGAAAGGACUAACCAAGUAUUAGAAGAUAUGUUGAGAGCUUGUGCCCUUCAAAAUGGUAGUAGUUGGGACAAGAGUCUACCUUAUGCUGAGUUCUCAUAUAAUAACAGUUACCAGUCCAGUCUAAAGAUGUCACCGUUCGAGGCUCUACAUGGCAGGAAAUGCAGGGCUCCUCUACAUUAGGACCAGACUGGAGGAAGACAAUUCUUUGGACAUGAACUUAUUCAAGAGGCAGAAGAACAAGUUCGAAUGAUAAGAGAAAAUUUGAGAAUUGCACAAUCAAGGCAGAAGAGCUAUGCUGAUACCCGGAGAAGACUACUGGAGUUUAAGGAGGGUGAUCACGUGUAUCUGAAGGUGUCACCGAUCCGGGGUAUGAGGAGAUUUAAAGUUAAAGGAAAGUUGUCCCCUCGCUUUAUUGGACCUUUCUUAAUCUUAAAGCGAGUGGGAGAGGUUGCAUAUCAAUUGGAGUUACUGGAUCAUCUUGCGGAUGUUCAUGAUGUUUUUCAUGUAUCUCAGCUGAAAAAAUGUCUCAGGGUACCUGAAGAACAAUUACCAAUGGAAGACCUUAAUGUUCAAGAUGACCUGACUUAUGCUGAGUACCCCAUUAAGAUUCUUGAUACACUGACUCGGGUUACGAGGAAUAAGGUUAUAAAGAUGUGCAAAGUUCAAUGGAGUCACCACGGUGAAGAUGAAGCAACUUGGGAAAGAGAAGAAGAGCUUCGCAUAGAUUUUCCCCAUCUUUUCACUAGUCAUUCCUAAAUCUCGAGGACAAGAUUAUUUUUAAGGGGGUAGGAUUUGUAACACUCAAAAUUGUUUACAAGGAAUAAAUAGUGAAUUCCCUACUGUAUGUGCCUUAAUUGCAUCAUGAAAAGAGCAUGCAUAUAAUUAAGAGUGAGACAAAUGAUUCAAAAAUAAAAUAAAGUACAUCUUGUUGGAGUUUUAUGUUUGUGCAUUAAAUAAAAAUAAUAACAAUAUAAAAAUGACUAGAAAUUGGAUUAAACCCUAAGUUGAAAAAAUAGGGUUUUCUAAAAUGAGAAGAAGAGGAAUGAUACAAAAAUAUAAAUAAUGUUAUUAUACUUUUAAAAUUGGUAAUUUUUCAUUUCACAAUAUGAUUUGAGAAUAAAUUUGCACAAGGUUUGAAACUAAAUUCGAAUUCAAAUUGAUUUUUAGAAAUAAAGAAAAGAAAAUGGGAGAUGAAAAGAAAAGGAAAAGCAAAAUCCCACUGUUGGGCCCAAAACCCUCAAUUCGGCCCACCAUCUCUUUUGAUCCGCGCAACCCACCACUCACUCUCGGCGCCGACAUGGUGGGCCCACAGGGCAGUCGCGCCAGUGCACACAGCAUUUCCCCUUUCACUGCGUCGCGGGGCCCACUGGUCAGCCUCUUCGCUCCUACCACUCAGUCGCUCGCUUACGUAUGGGUCCAGCUCGUCAGUUCCUUGGCGCGUGCCAGGAAAUGUUUGUCUCGCCGACUUGUGGGACCCUCGCGUCAGUUUCGCCUUCAUCCUAACGGACUGGCGCGGGUCUUACGCGGAUGGCGCCGGAGGAAUCGACGGCGCCGUUCUGACCGGCACGACCCUCGGUGCAUAUAUACCGAGGCGCUCUGUCCAUCCGAGCCGUUAGAAAUCGCUACCCACGACCUAGUUUUCCCUGUGCGUUGUGUUUCCCAUCGCCGCCGCCGACACACGGUAGAACAGGGUGCCGCCGCCGCCAAAACCUCGCACCAUAUCGCCGCUCCCCCUGUUUUGUGCCCGGAGGAACUCGCGGAUUCGUGCGCAACCCCAUCACCGACUAAUUUGGACUUGUGGUUGGCUCGGGCCACCUCGAUUGCUCACCGGUGUCCCAGCUCCGCCUCGGAUCCGCUUAGCACCGACGACUGGCCGCAACACGGUCCCAAUUGCCGGUAACAACUUCCCCUAUGUCUCACCGUAGCUCUGCAUUCGUAUAGUUUACAUACAAUCGGACUAUGGGGCCCUGAAUUGCCGUAUCGGGUUACUCCGGCGAGGAGCGCCGCCGUAGCGCGUGCGGCAACCUCGCUGCCGUGGCGUGUGGUUGGGGAUGAGAGCCUAGCCGUCGAUUGAGCAAUCAAGGGUGCAGGUUAGAUCGGGGGGGGGGAUCAGGCCAGGGUAAAUGCGGAUCGUCCGAUCGCGAUCGGGCGAGUCGGGGCGAUCGCAGGGGAUUUUAAAUCCAAACCGUAGAUUUGUAAUCGAGCGGUGCCUACUGGAUACCGAUUCGUUUCGAAGCCAGUCUAAUCGUAGCCGUAGAACUUUAAUCCAACGGCCGGGAUUGGCCCGUACCCCUUCGCGGGUACGUUUUACAAAAGAAACCCCGCCAAACUUUGAAACCAACCCGCCGUCCAGUGGAACUAUUCCCUGAGUCUGGGUUAUCUUACGCAGAGACCCUUGAAGUUAUCAGGAAUCGAGGCCCAGUCCUGAGAUGAUUAAAAACAGAGAAUUAAUUAUAGAAAUUCGUUUUUAAUAAAAAAACAAAUAUAGAAACUUGUUUAAUUCAUAGAAAAUGCAUAUGAACUCCAAAUUGAUCCAUUCCAGUUCCAAAAUUUUUAUAAUAUUAUUUUCUAACCAUUAGUGUCUCUGUUUUGACAUGAAAGCAGUAAGAAAAUUAAUUUAUCAUUUAAUCCUAUCUCAAGCACAUUAAAUCUUAGGAAAUUCAUAUCUUAAAAUCUAUAAUACCAAAAAUUAUGAUUUCUGUUCUUAGGAGUUUAUUUUAAUGUGUAGAUUUUUAUGGUGUAUUUUAUUCACAUGUUUGGUGCAAUGUUAAUUUUUGCUAUACUAUGUAUGUAUUGUGUUGAUGCGAGUAGACGAGCAAGCCACUGUGGAUUCUGAGGUUCAGCAAGUAGAAGUAGCUGAGUAGGAGCUCAUUGAAGGCAAGUUGUGCCCUUGAUCACUUACUUUUUCUCAGCCAUGUUCUUAUUAAUUAUAAUGAUCUGCAUAGGUUAAUUUUGAUGGGACCCAAUAGGUUACCCCAGUUUUGGCUAUCUUUAUACCUUGUUUUGCCACUAAAUAUUUUUGGGUAGUACUUGCUAUCGCUUAUUGUGGUUUUGGGUAUGAAGAUACACUAUUAAUUACUUCACUUUUAUUAUCUUUUUAUUAUUAAUGUUCAUGUUAAGAUCAUUAUGUUAAUGGGAACAUGGAGCGACCACCCGGGAAAACAGUGCUACAACAAGGGUAUAAUGGGACGCCCUUGGCUGAUUAACUAGGAAAGCUAGUGGAGGUCUUCCUUACCCGAAAGGGGCAAGGGCAGUAGGGGAGUGGUCAGUGUAGGGAGGUCCUUGGUUGAUUUUGCUGCGAUGGCGGUCAGGCAAGAACCCUGCAUUGGAGCUUCCUAUAAACUGUAGCGGGUUUUCUGAAGCUAGUGGAACUUUGUAAAGGCCUCGUAGUGUUACCCUGCCUCGCCUCCUCGGUAGAGGUGUAUGGGAUUGGCCAUCUCUUGGCAGAUGGGUAACAUGACUUGUGGGUAAAGAUGCGCAACCUCUGCAGAGUGUAAAGCUGGUAUACUAGCCGUGCUCACGGUCAUGAGCGGCUCGGACCCUCACAUGAUUAAAUUAUGGAACUUAAAUUCAAUUUUGUCAUUUGCAUAUGCAUGGGUUUAUUAUUAAUUUUGUUCUAUUAUUUUACUUAAGGUUUGGUAUUUACUUACACUUAGUAAUUGCUAAUAAAAUUUUGACCAACUACUUAAAAGCAAUGCUCAGCUUUAACCAUUCUCUUUGAUAAGCCUUACACUCCAUGAGCUCCCACCUUUGGUGAGUUCAUGUCACAUUAUUCCCCACGACUUGUUGAGCGAUGAACGUAUGUGAGCUCACUCUUGCUGUCUCACACCCCCCAACAGGAGAAGAGCAGGUGGUUCAGGAGGAGCCACAAGGCGAGGAGUAUGAUCCGAUCUAGGUGGCGUUUCUCAGUUGACAUUGGCGCCGACGAUCCUUAGUUCGUUUUAUAUUUACUCUUUUAUUUUGUAAUAAGUCUUCCGCUAUUGAAUAAAUACUUUGAUGUUCAUGACAUUUAUCUCUAUACACUCUGUUAUU